rnacentral:rRNA from 1 species
AGUGAACGCUGGCGGUAGGCCUAACACAUGCAAGUCGAACGGCAGCACAGUAAGAGCUUGCUCUUACGGGUGGCGAGUGGCGGACGGGUGAGGAAUACAUCGGAAUCUACUUUUUCGUGGGGGAUAACGUAGGGAAACUUACGCUAAUACCGCAUACGACCUACGGGUGAAAGCAGGGGAUCUUCGGACCUUGCGCGAUUGAAUGAGCCGAUGUCGGAUUAGCUGGUUGGCGGGGUAAAGGCCCACCAAGGCGACGAUCCGUAGCUGGUCUGAGAGGAUGAUCAGCCACACUGGAACUGAGACACGGUCCAGACUCCUACGGGAGGCAGCAGUGGGGAAUAUUGGACAAUGGGCGCAAGCCUGAUCAGCCAUACCGCGUGGGUGAAGAAGGCCUUCGGGUUGUAAAGCCCUUUUGUUGGGAAAGAAAAGCAGCAGGUUAAUACCCCGCUGUUCUGACGGUACCCAAAGAAUAAGCACCGGCUAACUUCGUG